GACCCUGGUAGUCCACGCUGUAAACGAUGUCGACUUGGAGGUUGUUCCCUUGAGGAGUGGCUUCCGGAGCUAACGCGUUAAGUCGACCGCCUGGGGAGUACGGCCGCAAGGUUAAAACUCAAAUGAAUUGACGGGGGCCCGCACAAGCGGUGGAGCAUGUGGUUUAAUUCGAUGCAACGCGAAGAACCUUACCUACUCUUGACAUCCACGGAAUUUAGCAGAGAUGCUUUAGUGCCUUCGGGAACCGUGAGACAGGUGCUGCAUGGCUGUCGUCAGCUCGUGUUGUGAAAUGUUGGGUUAAGUCCCGCAACGAGCGCAACCCUUAUCCUUUGUUGCCAGCGGUUCGGCCGGGAACUCAAAGGAGACUGCCAGUGAUAAACUGGAGGAAGGUGGGGAUGACGUCAAGUCAUCAUGGCCCUUACGAGUAGGGCUACACACGUGCUACAAUGGCAUAUACAAAGAGAAGCGACCUCGCGAGAGCAAGCGGACCUCAUAAAGUAUGUCGUAGUCCGGAUCGGAGUCUGCAACUCGACUCCGUGAAGUCGGAAUCGCUAGUAAUCGUGGAUCAGAAUGCCACGGUGAAUACGUUCCCGGGCCUUGUACACACCGCCCGUCACACCAUGGGAGUGGGUUGCAAAAGAAGUAGGUAGCUUAAC
rnacentral:rRNA from 1 species